rnacentral:rRNA from 1 species
AGCAGCCGCGGUAAUUCCAGCUCCAAUAGCGUAUAUUAAAGUUGUUGCAGUUAAAAAGCUCGUAGUUGAAUUUCGGGGUUAGUAGGUUGGUCAUGCCUCUGGUAUGUACUGGUCUCACUGAUUCCUCCUUCCUGAUGAGCCGUAAUGCCAUUAAUUUGGUGUUGCGGGGAAUUUGGACUGUUACUUUGAAAAAAUUAGAGUGUUUAAAGCAGGCUCGCGCUUGAAUACAUUAGCAUGGAAUAAUGAAAUAGGACGUUUGAUUCUAUUUUGUUGGUUUCUAGGAUCGACGUAAUGAUUAAUAGGGAUAGUUGGGGGCAUUAGUAUUCAAUUGUCAGAGGUGAAAUUCUUGGAUUUAUUGAAGACUAACUACUGCGAAAGCAUUUGCCAAGGAUGUUUUCAUUAAUCAAGAACGAAAGUUAGGGGAUCGAAGACGAUCAGAUACCGUCGUAGUCUUAACCAUAAACUAUGCCGACUAGGGAUCGGAUGAUGUUAAUUUUUUAAUGACUCAUUCGGCGCCUUA